rnacentral:rRNA from 1 species
AUGGAGGUCGAGGUCGCCAAGGAAGGGAGGCAGCAGGGGCAUGGCGAUGCUGAUGGCCUCGCGGGCCAUGCCGGGCGACGGGCGCGGCUUGGGGAGGCGCAGACGAAGCGAAGUCCAGCGGCGGCGAGGCAUCGACGCGGGGAAGCGGAUCGGGAGGAUGGGACAGGGAGGCUGGCGGCGCUGGAGGAUGGGAUCGGGGAAGAGGUUCGAGGGGAGAGGGUGAGUGGGAUCGAGGCCCCUGGUGCGAUGCGUGCCUCUGGCGGCGGUGGGAACGAGCAGGAGGGAUCGAGAGGGAGAUGGCGAGAGACGGGCAUCGAGGCUAGGGUUUACAGCGGGGCGUGGCUGGGCCUUAGAGGCCGGCCCGGUAGUGAAGGAAGUGGCCAGAGGCCUGGCUGGGCUGCUGGGCUCACUUCUCCUUCUCUCUUAUUUACCCAAACAGUAAAAAAAUAG